AGUGAACGCUGGCGGUAGGCCUAACACAUGCAAGUCGAACGGCAGCACAGUAAGAGCUUGCUCUUACGGGUGGCGAGUGGCGGACGGGUGAGGAAUACAUCGGAAUCUACUUUUUCGUGGGGGAUAACGUAGGGAAACUUACGCUAAUACCGCAUACGACCUACGGGUGAAAGCAGGGGAUCUUCGGACCUUGCGCGAUUGAAUGAGCCGAUGUCGGAUUAGCUAGUUGGCGGGGUAAAGGCUCACCAAGGCGACGAUCCGUAGCUGGUCUGAGAGGAUGAUCAGCCACACUGGAACUGAGACACGGUCCAGACUCCUACGGGAGGCAGCAGUGGGGAAUAUUGGACAAUGGGCGCAAGCCUGAUCCAGCCAUACCGCGUGGGUGAAGAAGGCCUUCGGGUUGUAAAGCCCUUUUGUUGGGAAAGAAAAGCAGCAGGUUAAUACCCCGCUGUUCUGACGGUACCCAAAGUAUAAGCACCGGCUAACUUCGUG
rnacentral:rRNA from 1 species